rnacentral:rRNA from 1 species
GACGAACGCUGGCGGCGUGCUUAACACAUGCAAGUCGAACGGAAAGGCCCUGCUUUUGUGGGGUGCUCGAGUGGCGAACGGGUGAGUAACACGUGAGUAACCUGCCCUUGACUUUGGGAUAACUUCAGGAAACUGGGGCUAAUACCGGAUAGGAGCUCCUGCUGCAUGGUGGGGGUUGGAAAGUUUCGGCGGUUGGGGAUGGACUCGCGGCUUAUCAGCUUGUUGGUGGGGUAGUGGCUUACCAAGGCUUUGACGGGUAGCCGGCCUGAGAGGGUGACCGGCCAAAUUGGGACUGAGAUACGGCCCAGACUCCUAUGGGAGGCAGCAGUGGAGAAUAUUGCACAAUGGGCGGAAGCCUGAUGCAGCAACGCCGCGUGCGGGAUGACGGCCUUCGGGUUGUAAACCGCUUUCGCCUGUGACGAAGCGUGAGUGACGGUAAUGGGUAAAGAAGCACCGGCUAACUACGUG